GGAGGCAUUUCCUGGGACAUCAUCAUCGGCUGGGUGAGCAGUGCGCUGCGUUUUGCAAAAAGUUAGGUUCAAUAUGGGGAAGACUGCAGACUUGACAACUGGCCAGAAGAGCAUCAUUGAUACCCUCCAUAGGAUGGGUAAGCCACAAAAGUUCAUAGCUAAGGAGGCUGGCUGUUCACAGAGUGCUGUGUCCAAGCAUAUCAAUGGAAAGUCUAGUGGAAGGACAAAAUGUGGCAGGAGAAGAUGCACCAGCAGAAAAGAUGACCGUGGGCUUCAGCGGAUUAUCAAACAGAGAAGAUUCAAGAAUCUGGCAGAUGGGCUGGAGAUGGGCUACAACUGUCGGGUUCCUCAGGUCAAACCACUUCUGAACCUGAGCCAAUGUCGGAAGCAUCUCAACUGGGCCAAGGAGAAGAAGGACUGGACUGUUGGUCAGUGGUCCAAGGUCCUCUUUUCCAAUGAAAGUAAAGUGUGUCUUUCAUUCGGGAAUCAAGGUCCAAGGGUUUGGAGGAAGACGGGUGAGGAACAGAACCCAAGCUGCUUGAGGUCCAGUGUGAAAUAUCCCCAGUCAGUCAUGAUUUAGGGUGCAAUGUCCGGUGCAGGUGUUGGUAAACUCUGCUUUCUUAAAUCCAAGGUUACCGCAACAGUCUACCAGAAUGUUUUAGAGGACUUCAUGAUUCCUUCUGCUGAGGAUCUGUAUAUGCAGUGUGUAUGCCCCUGCCCAUACCACCAGAAGCACCAGAACCUGGUUUGAUGGCCAUGCCAUCACAGUGCUUGACUGUGAAAUUGCACAGAUUUUUCAUUCUGUAUUGAGUUUCUCUUCUGACCAAAUUUGUACUUAGUUAAACCAAACCCCAGUUAAACCAAACCCCCUGGACAUCCUGAGACUGACUCAGUUACAGGACAGUUCUGCUCAGCUGUGAUUAAUCCCUCCAAUAAGAAGUCAUUGUCAAACAUUAAUAAACAACAUUAUAUAGAUCCCACACCAGUGCCUAUAUCUGUGGUGUCACUGUGAAAUUCACACUGGAAUUUUCUGUUUAGUUUUUUAGUUUUAGCUACAUAAAGUCUGCAGAAAUUCUGCAAAUAUUUUCAAUUUCAUAAUUUGUGGAACUUUUCCAUAUGUACUCAGGUGCACAAUCAGCAUGUACAUAAUGAGUUUGUUUUAUUCAUUUUGUCUAAUUUGUCCUCCAGUUGCAUUCAGGGCAUUUUCUUCUCAUUUCUGUCUAAUUUUGAUUUCAGGUUCAUCUCCUUCUGUACCAGAAGGCAACUGAGACAAGAUUAAAUGAUUAUAAAACCAGAUACACACACAAUAUAAUACAAUACAAUAUCUAUUCUUAUUUAAUCCUAAGCAUAUAGCUGCAUUACAAUCAGCUGCAGUCACGAGACUAAAACUAUCUAUAGCAGAAUACAUGUAAUCCAGUUCCGAAAAUGAAUCAGUGACUGACGGUCAGGAAGGAUCAUUAGUGCAGGUUUAUUUCUCUCUCUGUAAGUUACUGUAUUAGCAGCUAAAGCUAAUUUUAUAAAGCUGUUUUAUAGCUGCUCUGCUCUGUCACUGUGCAGCACUGCAGUCUGUUUUUAUCAUGAUCCGUCUCUUUAAAUGCCGCACAGCCUGCUGGUGAGGACGCCUGUGUGACCCUGUGUGUGAGACACACUGAUCGUUACUCAUUUAAUGUUCUUUGAACAGUGUACACUAAUGACCCCUGUUGUUGAAAAAGGUGAUGGAAAAAUGGGGCUUCUGAGAGAUAGAGAAUUGACACAAUUGAUUCCAUCUUUCAAAGCAUUCAAACCAUUACUUUACAGAAACAUAUAGUGAUUUAAUGCCACUGAGUCUGUUAUAUAACUAUCUAUUUCAUUAACCAACAGUGACAUUGCAAAUUUUUCAUAAUUAUUGUUGCUGUAUUUCUUUUCAUUUUUAUACUUUUAUAUCAAGUUAAAAGUAUUUUAAAAUGAUACAAUGAUGGUGUGUUUUAUUAAGAAAUACAAUCUGUGCUUG